ensembl:lncRNA
UUACAUUUAGUUGUCAUGUUUCUUUAGGCUUUCCUCGUCUUUUCUUGUUUUUGAUAAUGUUGAAGGUUAAAAAUAUUUUUUUUAAUUUUUAUUCUUUUUUUUUUUGAGAUGGAAUCUCACUUUGUCAUCCAGGCUAGAGUAAAGUGAAGUGAUCUCAGCUUACUGCAUCCUCUACCUCUGGGUUCAAGCAAUUCUCAUGCCUCUGCCUCCCAAGUAGCUGGUAUUACAGGCAUGUGCCACCACACUCAGCUAAUUUUUGUAUUUUUUGCAGAGACAGAGUUUCACCAUUUUGGCCAGGUUGGUCUCGAACUCCUCCCCUCAAGUGAUCCACCCACCUCUGCCUCUCAGAAUGCUGGGAUUACGGGCAUGAGCGACCACACCCAGCCAACAGUUUUGAGCAGUAUUUUUCAGAGACAGGAUUUCACCAGGCUGGUUUCAAACUCCUAGCCUCAAGUGAUCUGCCCUCUUUGGCCUCCUAAAGUGCUGGGAUUACAGGCGUGAACCACUGCGACUGGCCUUAACAAGGACUCUUGAACACAGAUGUCUAGUAACUUUAAAAUCAAUGGACUAAAUAAAAAAUUCCAGAACUCUACUGAGAGCAUUUAUGAAGAUUGCUAAACAAGCAGAACAAGAAUUCCAUGGAACUGAACUGAUGGAGAACUAAAGCGAUUUUCGUGGGACUGAAAGGAUGGAAGACUGAAAUGAUUUUUAUAACUUCUAUUUGAAACACUGCUGAUUCUAUUUAUAUUUUGUUUUCCAAAGUGAAAAUGGCUCUUUUCUUUUGAGCUACUUUUAUCUUACAACAAUUGGAUAAAGUAUACUUCGUGAACAAAAUUAAAACAUUUACCUUUCUCUCUACCUAAAUUCUCCAAAAUUGGACAACUGUUCUUCAGUGGCUAGGGCCAAAGUACUGGUUGCCCACUGACAAGAGAUGAAUCGUUAUUCAGGAGAAUGGCAUGCAGCCUCAUAUCAAGACCUACCCCAUGCUGCCAGCAAUCUGGCCUGCCUGCAAUAAGAAGGUUCCUUCUCCCUGCCAAGAGAGGUGACUUCCUGGGAAUGAGCCUGAUAACAUCUGACAAUAUGAAUGAUUGCACCUCUGUAAUCUACAGCCAGAUGGACUAUUGAUGAGAUUUUGCUGUAAUGUGACUUCUGAAUACAAGCAGAGAACCCCUAUCACCUGUAUAUGAGCUGUGGGCUGAAACACUGCUUUGGAGCAGUCUAAGAGAAAUGCUCUGAAAGACCCCUUUGGGAUUGGACUCCUCUGUAAGACUCUGAAUAAUACUAACUUUAAUUGUCUAUAAGUUUGGUUUCUAUUUUCUUUAGUGGCCACUUUCAAGAAGCCCCGGUUUUUCUUAUUGGAGGAUGGUAUUAUUAGAAUCCAAGAUCUAUGCAUUAAGUGUACACAUUACAAAUAAGUUAACAAAGCCAGCUUUAUAUUCAUAAGGAAUAAGAAUCAGCAGCCAUGUAGUCAGACAGCGAGGGCCAGUGGCAGAAGAAGGGUCCCUGUUAGGAAGGCAGGUGGGACGAGACACUGUCCCUGGGAGAAGGGUGGGGCUGGGGCUUGGUCACAGGAGACUUGGAGAACAAGGAGUCCACUUAGCCCUGUUCUGACCUCAUCUCAGGGUUCUUCCUGAGUGGCCAGUGGAAUGGGGGUGGGGAGGAGGCCAGGUCUCUCCUCUCCCUCCCUCUCUAUUUCAGGGUCACUCAGAGCAUGCG